rnacentral:misc_RNA from 1 species
GUACAAGAUAUGCCUCACCGCUGAAGACGACACUGACACCGCUGAGUUUGUCUUUUUUGGACGGAUGGCACAACGCCUCAUUAAAAAAAAUGUGGACACCCUCAUAUCAACUAAUCCGCCUGGGUUCAUUCCAAACGAAAUUACAAACCUACUGGAGAAGUCUUUCGAGUGGAAUGUUAGCUUCACCGAAAGCACAAUUAUUUAUGGCAGUGUUUCCUUUCAAGUGAAUGCUAUAAAUGCAGAAAUGGAUGGUGGCAGCACACUUCCAACUACACCGGCCUCACAGCCAUCAUCGACCAUACUAUCUCAAGGGCAAGGAUCAGGUGUCACACAAAACAAGGGGGCUGCCUUCAUCCGCGAGCCGUCGCUAACACCGGAGAGUCGCAAAGUUUCGUCUAGCGCCAAGACAACCCCACAUCAGGGAGACAACCUACUGCUAGGAAAAGAAAUUAUCCCUGCUUCGCCUAACGUGCAGACGCCAUCAGAAGCCCACAACACCCCUGGUGCCAACACUCUCCGCCUGGGUGACGCUUACAGUGUGCUAGAUGGAUCUACAAACAAACCUGACAAAAGUGUUACCGGAAAAAGGUCUCGCACAUCGCCUUCCAACAAGCCUGCCAAGAAACUUUUUAGAGAUGAAGUCAUAACCGAUGACGACGCUGCUGGUUCCACAGACGUUGAUGCUAAGUAAUGUUGCAGUGCUUCUGGACACGAGCACCACCAGCAAUGGAAGCUCGCUUUUGGGAACUGAGGCUCGCUUUUGGGAACUGUCCCAGUUCGUCUAGGUUACUCUUAGAACUUGCCUCCCUGUUGUGCAAGGAGUACCGUUCUAUGCUUGUAAGAUAUGAGCACCGCUAUGAUGUGUGCUUUGUUGCAAGAUAUGCCUUUUGGUGCUUCUAGGGUAGUGACUGGUUAUAUCUAGGCUAUGCGUGCACUCUUGCGAGGAGCAUACUCGUGAUAUGUAAAGCAUGCCUAUGUAGUCUAGGCUUGAACAAACCAGACACAUUGCUUCCCUUGGUACUUCUACUAUUUGGCUUUGUCGUAUUAUGCUGCUAUGUGCUAUCUAUUUGCCGUUCCACUCACUUUAACAUAUAAUUGUUAUGUGGUCACCAAUCAGACGCGUCUGUUCCAGGUUUUUGUUUAGUUC